rnacentral:rRNA from 1 species
GAUGAACGCUAGCUACAGGCUUAACACAUGCAAGUCGAGGGGAAACGCCAUCGAAAGCUUGCUUUUGAUGGGCGUCGACCGGCGCACGGGCGAGUAACGCGUAUCCAACCUGCCCAUCACUUGGGAAUAACCUUGCGAAAGUAAGACUAAUACCCAAUGAUAUCCCACGAAGGCAUCGGAAUGGGAUUAAAGAUUUAUCGGUGAUGGAUGGGGAUGCGUCUGAUUAGCUUGUUGGCGGGGUAACGGCCCACCAAGGCAACGAUCAGUAGGGGUUCUGAGAGGAAGGUCCCCCACAUUGGAACUGGGACACGGUCCAAACUCCUACGGGAGGCAGCAGUGAGGAAUAUUGGUCAAUGGGCGAGAGCCUGAACCAGCCAAGUAGCGUGCAGGAAGACGGCCCUAUGGGUUGUAGACUGCUUUUAUAAGGGAAUAAAGUGGGUCACGUGUGACUUUUUGCAUGUACCUUAUGAAUAAGGACCGGCUAAUUCCGUG